GGCAGGGUGGGUGCAGCUGGCAGUGAGAGACGCUGCCUUUUCAACGCGGAUGGCUCCUCCUGCUGCCGCUGCUGCCCCAGGAGACAGCUAAGGGGACCUACUUCUCUCGGGAAUCUCAAUACUUGGAACAACAACCUCCUGGAUGAACUCUUUGGCAAAAUGAAUUGGACCAACUGUAAGUUCCAGGACUCGAGAACCAGCAAUGCUUCCCUGACAAUCCCACCCAAUGACCCUGCUCAGGCUGGAGUAUAGUGGUGUGAUCCUAGCUUACUGCAGCCUGGAUUUCCCUAGCUUAAGUGAUUCUCCUGUCUCAGCCUCUCAAGGAGCUGGGACUACAGGCAUGUGGCAGCACACCCAGCUAAUUUUUUUUAAAGUAGAGACAAGGUUUCUCUACAUUGCUCAGGCUGGUCUCAAACUGCUGAGCUCAGGCAGUCCUCCUGCCAUUACUUCCCAAAGUGCUCAGAUUGUAGGCGUGUCACUGCGCCCAGCCCGUUAUUACUGUCUGAUCACUGAGUUCUCAAACAACUCUGUGAGGUAGAUAUUCACGUUCUGUCCAUUUCACAGAUGAGGCUCAGAAAGGUUAAGUGUUUGUCUUAUGAUCGCAGUUAGGAAGCACCCGAGACCCAGGUCAAUGGACUUUAAAUCUCAGGCUCUUUUAUAACAUCAUUCUUUGUUCUUCUCUCCUCUACCCACCUCCUCUGCCUGCCCAGGAUAGGUACUUGCCUUUCUGGCCCUAGAUGGACACAUCAUGCUAUCUCCCCCUUGAUGUAAACAGGUGUGCUGUACUCCCGCCAGCCUUCCCCAGCUGGGGACCCAAGUUCCCCUCUCGUUGCUCAGGGCUUAUGUGUGUCAUCUGCCACACUCCACUCCCCCACACAUCAUGCCCUGUGACUUGGUACCUCAUCUUGCGUGAUUCAUGGCUGGUACCAUGGGCACUGGGAAGGUCUGGUUUCCAAGACCCCUUUCUACCCUCCAUCCAGUAGCUGUCAAAGGCAAACCUGGUGAGGUCAGCUAUCUCACUCAGAAGAGGGACAGGGACAAAGGCAGAAAGGAAGUGAGCUAUUAGGAUAUCCAGCAGAAUUCCAUCUGGCCUUGGUGCCCCCAAAGGCUGUAAUGCUUGGCAUUUGUAUUCCCAGAUGCUAUUUAUCCAACGUGGGUAGUAAAUUGUCCUAGUGAUCCAGUGGGUUCCCUCCAGCCCACUUUAGCAGUAGUCUCUGCAUUGUGCAGCCAGCUCCCCAAGACAUGUGGCCUGAAAGGUGCUACCUGCUAUAAGGGCUGAAUUAAUGCAGCUCCACUUUAUGGGAAAAAACAGGAAGGGGGCCAGGCAUGGUGGCUGGCGCCUGUAAUCCCAGCACUUUGGGAGACCGAGGCAGGUAGAUCAUGAGGUCAAGAGUUUGAGACCAGCCUGACCAACAUAGUGAAACCCUGUCUUUACUAAAAAUACAAAAAUUAGCCAGGUGAGGUGGCACGUGCCUGUAAUCCCAGCUACUCAGGAGGCUGAAGCAGGAGAAUUGCUUGAACCCUGGAGGUGGAGGCUGCAGGGAGCCAAGAUUUCAGCCUGGGCGACAGAGAGAGACUGUCUCAAAAGGAAAAAAAAGAAAGAAAGAGGAAGAAGCCUGAAUGCAGGUCUAUUUGUGAAGAUUAAGCAAGAUAAAGAACGUGCCCAGGAUAUAAGAACAUCACCAUUCUGAAGCACUGCAGGACUCAGCAGGACUAUUUAAGAAACAACUGAGGCAUCAGACAGACUUUCCCCACAAGUCCUCGGAUCUUUCCUGCCACGCCAAUGCCAUAUUUUCCAACGUGAUCAACCUGGCCCCCCAGAAGGGGGACGACUUUGCUGUCUACACUAACAUGCCUCCUUUUCAUCGCCCCAAGAGGACAUCGCCAGACCAAGUGGAAUAUGCCUUCAUUGUAUUCCACUGACGGGAAGCCAACGAGAUGCUCAGAGCAGGGGUCAGGCCUGGCCCCAGCUGGAUCUUGGCAUAGCCUUUGCUUUAUAUUUAUGUGUGUAUGAUUUAAAAAAAAAUACAUAGGCCGGGCUCGGUGGCUCACGCCUGUAAUCCCAGCACUUUGGGAGGCCGAGGCAGGCAGAUCACGAGGUCAGGAGAUAGAGAGCAUCCUGGCCAACAUGGUGAAACCCUGUCUCUACUAAAAACACAAAAAUUAGCUGGGCAUGGUGGCAUGUGCCCGUAAUCCCAACUACUCAGGAGGCUGAGGCAGGAGAAUCACUUGAACCCGGGAGGCAGAAGUUGCAGUGAGCCGAGAUUGUGCCACAGCACUCCAGCCUGGGUAACAGAGUAAGACUCCAUCUCUAAGUACAAUAA